GGGUUGUGAGGUUAAGCGACUAAGCGUACACGGUGGAUGCCCUGGCAGUCAGAGGCGAUGAAGGGCGUGCUAAUCUGCGAUAAGCGCCGGUAAGGUGAUAUGAACCGUUAUAACCGGCGAUACCCGAAUGGGGAAACCCAGUGUGACUCGUCACACUAUCAUUAACUGAAUCCAUAGGUUAAUGAGGCGAACCGGGGGAACUGAAACAUCUAAGUACCCCGAGGAAAAGAAAUCAACCGAGAUUCCCCCAGUAGCGGCGAGCGAACGGGGAGGAGCCCAGAGCCUGAAUCAGCAUGUGUGUUAGUGGAAGCGUCUGGAAAGGCGCGCGAUACAGGGUGACAGCCCCGUACACAAAAGCGCAUGUGCUGUGAGCUCGAUGAGUAGGGCGGGACACGUGGUAUCCUGUCUGAAUAUGGGGGGACCAUCCUCCAAGGCUAAAUACUCCUGACUGACCGAUAGUGAACCAGUACCGUGAGGGAAAGGCGAAAAGAACCCCGGCGAGGGGAGUGAAAAAGAACCUGAAACCGUGUACGUACAAGCAGUGGGAGCCCCACCACCAAAGCAUUUG
rnacentral:rRNA from 2 species